rnacentral:rRNA from 1 species
CUACGGGGUGCUGCAGUGGGGAAUAUUGCGCAAUGGGGGAAACCCUGACGCAGCAACGCCGCGUGAAGGACGAAGGUUUUCGGAUCGUAAACUUCUUUGAUUGGGGAAGAAAAAAAUGACGGUACCCAAAAAACAAGCCACGGCUAACUACGUGCCAGCAGCCGCGGUAAUACGUAGGUGGCAAGCGUUGUCCGGAUUUACUGGGUGUAAAGGGCGUGUAGGCGGGGAGACAAGUCAGAUGUGAAAUACCACGGCUCAACCGUGGGGGUGCAUCUGAAACUGUUUCUCUUGAGUGCUGGAGAGGAAAGCGGAAUUCCUAGUGUAGCGGUGAAAUGCGUAGAUAUUAGGAGGAACACCAGUGGCGAAGGCGGCUUUCUGGACAGUAACUGACGCUGAGGCGCGAAAGCGUGGGGAGCAAACAGGAUUAGAUACCCCGGUAGUC